rnacentral:pre_miRNA from 1 species
UCUUAGGGAUGAGCAAAGAAAUUGGUUUCUUCAGAUAGAAACUUAUUCUGGUGAAGAUUUUGUGAA